rnacentral:rRNA from 1 species
CCUACGGGUGGCAGCAGUGAGGAAUAUUGGUCAAUGGGCGGAAGCCUGAACCAGCCAAGUAGCGUGCAGGAUGACUGCCCUACGGGUUGUAAACUGCUUUUAUACGGGAAUAACGCGCCUUACGUGUAGGGCUUUGCAUGUACCCUAUGAAUAAGGACCGGCUAAUUCCGUGCCAGCAGCCGCAGUUAUACGGAAGGUCCGGGCGUUAUCCGGAUUUAUUGGGUUUAAAGGGAGCGUAGGCCGCAUGUCCAGCGUGCUGUGAAAUGUCCGGGCUCAACCCGGGCCUUGCAGCGGUAACUGGCGUGCGUGAGUCCGCGGAAAGCAGGCGGAAUGCGUGGUGUAGCGGUGAAAUGCUUAGAUAUGACGAAGAACCCCGAUUGCGAAGGCAGCUUGCUGCAGCGGAACUGACGCUGAUGCUCGAAAGCGCGGGUAUCGAACAGGAUUAGAUACCCCAGUAGUC